rnacentral:rRNA from 1 species
GACGAACGCUGGCGGCGUGCUUAACACAUGCAAGUCGAACGCUGAAGCUUGGUGCUUGCACUGGGUGGAUGAGUGGCGAACGGGUGAGUAAUACGUGAGUAACCUGCCCUUGAAUCUGGGAUAAGCCUGGGAAACUGGGUCUAAUACUGGAUACGACAUGUCACCGCAUGGUGGUGUGUGGAAAGGGUUUUACUGGUUUUGGAUGGGCUCACGGCCUAUCAGCUUGUUGGUGGGGUAAUGGCUCACCAAGGCGACGACGGGUAGCCGGCCUGAGAGGGUGACCGGCCACACUGGGACUGAGACACGGCCCAGACUCCUACGGGAGGCAGCAGUGGGGAAUAUUGCACAAUGGGCGGAAGCCUGAUGCAGCGACGCCGCGUGAGGGAUGACGGCCUUCGGGUUGUAAACCUCUUUCAGCACGGAAGAAGCGAAAGUGACGGUACGUGCAGAAGAAGCGCCGGCUAACUACGUG